rnacentral:rRNA from 1 species
ACCGAACGAACGCGUGCGGCAGGCCUACACAUUCAAGUCGAGCGAGAAGCUAACUUCGGUUAGUGGACAGCGGCGCACGAUAACGCGUGGGAAUUUACCUUUCGGCGGGGGACAACAGUUGGAAACGACUGCUAAUACCGCAUACGCCCUACGGGGGAAAGAUUAUCACCGAAAGAUAGGCCCGCGUUAGAUUAGGUAGUUGGUAGGGUCAAAGCCUACCAAGCCGACGAUCUAUAGCUGGUUUGAGAGAACGAUCAGCCACACUGGAACUGAGACACGGUCCAGACUCCUCGGGAGGCGAGGGGGAAUCUGCACAAGGGCGAAAGCUGAUACAGCCAUGCCAGCUGAGU